rnacentral:lncRNA from 1 species
GUGUAGCAAUGCUCUAGAUCAAGGGUGAGUAAGACUUUUCUCUAAAGCUUUGCAGAUAGUAAAUAUUUUAGGCUUUUCAAGUCAGAUGAUCUGUGUAACCAUUCAACCCUGCCAUUGUAAUGCUUAAACCAGUGUGUAAAUGAAUGAGUAUGACUGUGUUCAAAUAAACUUUACAAAAACUGAGGGGAACCAGAUUUGACCAUCAGGCUGUAGUUUAUUCUCCCUUCAUCUAGAUACCCUUUAAGUCCUCCUCAGUGGACCACUAAAUGUUAUCAUUGCAUUUAGCUGCAGUUAACAUAAUGUACCUAUAGUGAUUUAAUCAUAAGAGUUUAUUUUCUCUUUUGUGACAAAACUAGUUAUAAGAAAUUGCUGUUGUUCUAACUAUUUAAGGUGAUUAGGACCAGGUGAAGGCUCUGUGUUUCUCUGUGAUUCUCUUGCCCUUUUCCUUAUGGUCUGCAACUACAGUCAUCAUGUCGCAAUCUAGACAGGAAGGAGAAAAGGCCUAAAGGGCUAACCUCCUAGCUGAGUCAGCCGCUUGCUUAAAACUGCUUUCCUUGCAUCUAUAUUUGCUUACAUUUCAUUGGACACAAAUCCCAGCCCAGUGACUUUGAACAAUACUAUUAAUUCUUGGAGCCUGAAGUUUUUCAUUUGAAGGAUGGUUAUCUACUUAACUGGCAUCAUUAAACAGGUUAGAAAUGAUGAAUAUGAUAUGCCUAGCUAAGAGCCUAGUCUUCAGUACAUUGUAAC